rnacentral:rRNA from 1 species
GCGCGCCGAUGUGGCGACGCAUCGCAUGUGUCUGCUCCCCGCCGCAUGCAGCAGCCGCGCCGCGCGGUGAUAAAUUGGGUUUAAUUUCAUUCCUCGAAUCGGAUCGAAUAAUCCGUCGACUGUUCUGGAGAGUGAGCAGGAUCGGAUUGUUAUUCUAUUGUUGUCCGCGGCGGCCAUGGCGUUCUUCGAGGAGACGGAGUCGUACUACGUCCCCUACCUCCGCGCCCACCUGCACCAAUUCGCAGCGUCGGUCUCCGCGGCGAGCUGCGAGGAGGGGGCGGGCGACGACGAGGAGUGCCGCGACGAGGCGGCCGCGCUCAGGCUCAAGAUGGUGGCCGUCGCCGCCAUCCUCAUCGCCGGCGCGGUCGGCGUCGCCAUCCCGCUCGUCGGCCGGAGGCGGCGCGGCGGGGGCGGCGGCGGCGAGGGCGGGUCCUCCGGCGGCGGGAUGUUCGUGCUCGCCAAGGCGUUCGCGGCGGGGGUCAUCCUCGCCACGGGGUUCGUGCACAUGAUGCACGACGCCGAGGAGAAGUUCGCCGACCCGUGCCUCCCGGCCAUGCCGUGGCGCCGGUUCCCCUUCCCGGGCUUCAUCGCCAUGCUCGCCGCGCUGGGCACGCUCGUCAUGGAGUUCGUCGGCACCCGCUUCUACGAGCGCAGGCACGGCGAGGAGGCCGCUGCAGCCGCGGCCACAGCCGCGCGUGACGACACCACGGCGCUGCUCGAGGACGGCUCCCUGUCAGGGAUGGCUGCCGCCGCGAUGAGCGGCGACGAUGAGAAGCAGGACGCCAUGCACAUCGUGGGCAUGCGCGCGCACGCGGCGGCGCACCAGCACAGCCAUGCGCAUGGCCAUGACGCGUGCGAUGGUGGAGCCGUGUACGACGCCCAUGCACACGCCCACGCCCAGGGCCAUGGCCAUGACCAUGGGCAUGGGAGCGAGGAGAGGCCGUCCCAAGCUCAUCAUGUGGUUGUCUCGCAGAUUAUGGAGACGGGGAUUGUAUCUCAUUCGGUGAUUAUCGGGCUAUCCUUGGGCGUUUCGCAAAGCCCAUGUACCAUUAAACCUCUUGUUGCCGCCCUCUCCUUCCACCAGUUCUUCGAGGGUUUUGCCUUGGGUGGCUGCAUUUCUGAGGCGCAGUUCAAGAAUUUCUCUGCACUCCUGAUGGCUUUCUUCUUUGCUAUCACAACACCUGCUGGGAUCACCGUGGGGGCGGGGAUCGCGUCAUUCUACAAUGCCAACAGCCCCAGGGCAUUGGUGGUGGAAGGCAUUCUGGAUUCAAUGUCAUCUGGUAUACUGGUCUAUAUGGCAUUAGUGGAUCUCAUUGCUGCUGAUUUCCUGAGCCGGAGGAUGAGCUGCAAUCCGAGGCUGCAAGUGUGCUCAUACGUUGCCUUGUUUGUCGGGGCUAUUGCCAUGUCAUCACUGGCUAUUUGGGCUUAGUGCCAGUGAGGAUUAUUGAAGCUUGGGACGGGCUGCUUGGUGAUCAAUGCACUACGACUUGUUGCCUAGCUACCAUUAACUGAGUAAGAUGGGAGGCUUUUCCUUUCGCUGUCCAUUCUUUUGUUUGUUCUUCCAUGGUGCUGGGCCGUGUAACGUCCUCUUUUGGUCAUAGAAAAGGAAGUCCCUCUUUGGGUACAUUGUGGUGGUACAGAAUUGGGACAAGUUAGUUAGGGAAUAAAGAGUUUAGGAGUCCCACCAGUCUUUGCAGAUGUACAGUUCAUCCUCGGUGUUAGAUAAGAGGCCUUGUCUGUUCUCAAGUAUAAUCUUGCACGUACAUCAAUGCGGAUCUCCUGAAAGUCGCUUCAACUGUUCGAAUACAUUCGCAGGUGCUGUUUGAAAUUAGGAUGGUUAUGAACUCACGCCUGACUCUUUUGCCGCACCUGUUAGCACUAUUUUGGUUGUAUAUAUGGAAUAAAGGUUACCGAUCUUUCUCAACUUAAAUACCAAUCAUACGAAGAUUGAAUAUGAUGCAACAGAAAUUCUUUAUCCUUUAUUCUUUUUUGUAAUUGAAGCAGUUCGUUGAUACUGUUGUUGCUGGACUGCAGAUUCAUUUGUACACCACAAUUAAUUUUAUCAAAAUACAGUUCAUUCAUCUAUGCCUGUAAUAAUGUAGAUUUUUCCUGAUGACUUGAGCUAGACGACUUUGGUAGAUUGUACUGCAGUAUAUCUUAUAUUUGGUUAUGUUUUUAUCAAGUUCCAGUAACCCAUGCUUGUGCUGAACAACACAUAUAUAUUGUAUCAUUUAUUUGUAUUCCCUCUCAAA